CAAUGAAGAGACACAUUCCAUCCACGUUUGUCUCCCCACACGAGGUGCUUCCCUUCACAGCAGGAGAGAUUCUAUCCAAGGUCAACGUGCACUGCCCAGUGUUUGACUACGUUCCUCCUGAACUCAUCACUCUGUUCAUCUCUAACAUUGGCGGCAACGCUCCCUCUUACAUCUACCGGCUGAUGAGUGAGCUCUACCACCCUGAGGACCACAAACUGUAAUCAGUGUACAGAAAAUGCUCGUGAUAAUAAAUAAAAAGUUUUUUGCUAUG